rnacentral:rRNA from 1 species
AGCGAACGCUGGCGGCAGGCCUAACACAUGCAAGUCGAACGAACCUUUCGGGGUUAGUGGCGGACGGGUGAGUAACACGUGGGAACGUGCCUUUAGGUUCGGAAUAACUCAGGGAAACUUGUGCUAAUACCGAAUGUGCCCUUCGGGGAAAAGAUUUUUGGCCUUUAGAGCGGCCCGCGUCUGAUUGGUUAGUGGGUUAGGGUAAUGGUUCACCAAGGCGCCGAUCAGUAGCUGGUCUGAGGGGAGGAACAGCGACAUUGGGACUGAGACAGGGCCCAAACUCCUACGGGAGGCAGCAGUGGGGAAUCUUGCGCAAUGGGCGAAAGCCUGACGCAGCCAUGCCGCGUGAAUGAUGAAGGUCUUAGGAUUGUAAAAUUCUUUCAACGGGGACGAUAAUGACGGUACCCGGAGAAGAAGCCCCGGCUAACUUCGUG